AGGGAAUUAGCUCAACUGGUUAGAGCAACCGUUUUACACACGGAAGGUUAGGUGUUCAAAUCACCUAUUUCUUA
rnacentral:tRNA from 1 species